AAAUUGUGGUGGGAGCAUUUCCUCAAAAUGUCCUUGAACCUUUCAUAGGCUUCAAAAAGAGUCUCCGAGUCUCCUUGCCUAAAUGUAGAGAUUUCUUGUCUCAAUUU